UUGUGAUAAUGACCGCUCUUGUCCCUGCACACAGAGCCUCCCACACACCAGCGGGCACAAUACAAACAGAUGAGCUCACUGACACCAGCCAUGGGCUUGGAUCUGGAAUGUUCCCCCACAGGCCCGUGCGCUGAAGGCCGGUCCUCAGGGUGGCUCUGUUGGGUACACUGAGGCCUCGGGGCUUGUCCUUAAAGGGGAUAGUAGGACCCUGGACUCUUACUCUUCCUCUCUUCUGAUCCGGGCCAUGAUUGGGUGGCUCUGCUUUGCCACACGCUCCUGCCAUAAGGUGUCACCUCUUCACAGGUUCAGAGACACCCAGGAUUGGAACUUCCCAAACGAAGGGCGGAAAUGCUGUGGAGAUGGGUUGGUGGUCUACAGCGCGGAAUCAGAGCUGACCUCAGCACCAGCACCCUGGAAACCACGACUCCGUCUUCCAGGAAAUCUGAGCGUCUCUGCAUAAGCUGCUGACAGCCAGUGUCCCUGGGAAGUGGAGCCUAUCAUGGUGGCCACCACGGACUGAAAGGUUUUUCUCCUGUUGAAGUGAAACGAGGGCUCUGUAUUACUCUACCGAGAGGGCUCGAGAAGGGGAUGCCACCACGCCCAUCAGUGCUUGCCACAGCACUGCAAAGAAGGAGCUCAUUACGAAGCUGUUUGCCUGGGUGGGUCGGCCACAGCAGAGCACCCACUGGAAUGAGCUGGAGAACUAAGUUAUCUUCAGUGCCGAUGAUCCAUUUAUUUUUAAAAGUAUUCUCUAAAUGCUCUCUUGCACCCCAGCUGCCUUCGAUGGGGAGUAAAAUGGGUUUGCAUCUCUCUGCAUCUCUACCCAUGCAGGGCUGAGGGUGCUGGGCAGGAGAAGCGGCUAUUUCUUCACUCUUGUUACCCAAAUGUACUCUUUAGUGACUGGUUCUUUUGCAGAGGCUCUGGAGUGAAUGUCCCUGGAAACCUUUCCUUAUUCGAUGAAGACCCUUGCCAGGAUUUCUCAGAGAACGUUGUGAUUUGGAUUACAAUUUUUGUAACAGAAGAGACAUGUUCUCCAGCCAUAGGCAUGAGAAGAAUCUUACCCAUUUAUUUAAUGAGUAGUCUGUUCUGUGACAUCUCCCCAGUCCGUCCACUGUGCCCUCUUUUAUAAAAUAAGCAGAGGUGCACAGUGAAGUCAUCAGCUCUUCAUGCAGAACCCCGCGUGGGUGGACCACUGGCCUGUCCUGGUGGGAAAUCAUGGCUGCUUGUUUGUGGUGCUGCAGGGAUGUCCUGUUCCACGCGGCUUGCAGAUAGGAAAUGCAACCUCAGCACAUUCCAGGUUUAAGGAGAGGGGAGAUGGAGCAAAUCUAACCAGAGAGAGAGAGAGAGAGAGAGAGAGAGAGAGAGAGAGAGAGAGGGGGGAGAGAGAGAGAGAGAGAGAGAGAGAGAGAGAGAGAGAGGGGAGAGAGAGAGAGAGAGGAAGAAAGAGAAAGAGGGGAAGAAAGUUUAUUGGUCCUGCUGUAGCCGAGGGUCCUUGAUGCAGAGAUCACCUUGGUUUGUGGUAUUUGGUUGAUGUCAGGCAAGAGUCUGUGUCUGGUUGGGGCCAAGAGACUUGGCAGAGGGUAAAGGCUGUUGGCUGGUGUCUCCUGGAGAACUGGCUGGUAAAAGAUGGCCUGAUCUUGUCCAAGGGGAUGGGGAUCCAAGUCUGGGCCCCUCCCAACAGCUACAAACCUGGAAAGAGGAUCCAGAGUGGGGGCCAGGUCUUGAUGGAUGGGGUUCUGAGAGCCAGGGUUGGCUGGGUGAGGGCACCUGGCCUGCAGGCUCUGGAGUUGGGCUCCAGAAAGGUGAGCCUGGGGUUGAGAUGUGACCAGGCUAAACCCACCAAGGCACUGGUCAGGGGGACGAACGUCACACGUAAGUCGUGUCAAGUCCCUGAGAGGACAUGAGAUGGACACAGAAGUUUUGCCUGAUGGACAGGAGGGAGAACUUCAAAGGAGUCCCAGAAGCACCAGUUCUUAUAAGUAGCAUAGGAGCACCUGCCGUGUAUUGAGUCCCUGCUACGCACAGACCCAGCACCUCUGAAGCACUAUUUCUGAUCCUCCUCACACAGAACCAGGAGGUUAUCCUCAAACCCCUCACAGUGAGAAGCUGAGACAUGGAAUGGUUGGGUGACUUGCCUAUGGGACGUGUCGAGCAGGAAUGAGAACCAAACGCAUCGGAUUCCAGAGCUCACUCUUCCCGAUGACUCUGUCCUUCAUGCACAAGUCCACUGACUUGCCCGAGGUCAAGAGCGAUGCUCCAUUUUGCCCAUGUGGGAAGUCGGGUGUAAGGACAUGGCCAAGGCCUUCGCAGCUCAGGGUCCUCCAGCUCCUCCCAGACCCCAUUUCCUGCUCUCAAGCCAGGCUGCCAUUGACGAGGGACUGAGCGGUCAACCUAGUGGUUUCAGAGUCUUAGGUGCGAGUUCCAGUCACACUGGAGCCACCAAGGGCUGAUGGUUCCGUCUUGCUAACUCAGGAAGGAGAUGCUCCAUGUGUCCUGAUCUGCCACCACUCAGGGGCUCUAGGAGUCGAUUCCCACUGUGGAGUGACAUGCUGAGUGACGGGAAGUUCAGCCUGUCUCAGGGAACAGUUCCCAGCCAGAGUCAGCAACGAGGUGUGAAGGUGACAGCAUGCAUCUGGCUUCUACCCACAGAUUCCUGAGCCCCAGUGAGGCCCGUGCAGAGAGGGGGUCUGUCAAGCAUCUGGGACCGGUUGGUGUGGGGCUCCUUUGCGUGGGACAGGAUGGGGAUACAACCAGCAGGACUUCUGGAGAUUUCUAGGCUGUAUCAGCUGGCCUCCCUGAAAUCAGAGCCUCCAGGCAGGGCUUUGAGACGCCCUCAGCAGAUCCUCAAAUAGCGAGGGGGCGCCAUGGAGCAUCUCCGCUGCAAAACCCAGUGUUCCACCAACCACCGAUGAUCCCGAAGAAAUGCGACUUGCUCCCCUUCACCAGGGAGGUCCUGGUGAAGAGUCAGAGGGUGGAGUCGGUUUCCCAGGAACAAAGCCUUUUAAUGCCUCCUUUUGCCAAGGUGAGGCUCAAAGGGAAAGUGGCUGUUCUUGGGAGGUCACGUCACCGUCUGUGGAAACAGGUGGAGAGACUGGGGCUGCGGUCCAACCUCCCCACACCCUGCAGGUGGGUGAAUGGUCUCCUCUGUAGAAAAGAGAGGGUCCCUCCGCCCAGGCUCAUCCCACCAAGGGCUCCAUCACCCCUGAACUCACCCUGAAGUCACCGAGUGAGGAAGGUGAGGCAGGGGUGCGGAUGCCUUUGAUCUGUGGUCCCACCGUUGAUCCCUUCCAUGCAGGGUCCUGGAUUUUACUGUGUGGACGGCCUCUGAACUUAGGCACCCUGGGAAGGAGCCUCCUGUCCUAGGUCCUCUCCUGGCCCCCAGGGGUCACCUCUGAGGUCUGCAGGGACAUCUUUCUCACUCUAGAAGGCAGUGUCGGGCUCACCAGAAACAGUCCAGGGACAGCACUUCUCCCCACCCGAUGCCACUCCUGAGUGAGCGCAGCGCGAGGACUUCCCACUCUAACAAGAGGAAGCCCCCAGGAGCGUCGUCACCUGGGUCCUGCGACGGCCUGUGGCUGGCAGAUGGGAGAGGAGAAUCUUCAAAAUGAAAAUCCAUUUGUGCCGGGCGUGACGGCGCACCCCUGUCAUCCCAGUGACUUGGAGGCCGAGGAAGGAGGAUUGCAAGUUCGAGGACAGCCUGGGCCACUUAGCAAGACCCUGCCUUCAACAUAAAUUUUUUUAAAAAGGGCUUGGAUGUAGCUCAGAGGUAGAAAGCUCCUGCGUCCAAUCCCCAGUGCUGUAAUGUAAGAAAAAAUCAUUUGGUUAUUAAUUUGCUCAGUGCUGGUUCUGUAGCUUGGCUACCGUGGCCUGUGCUGCCUCCUUUUGAAGACGUGUGAAUUCGGUGGGGGAAUCCGAGCUGCCAGAGUCCAGAGAGAGAACUGCAUUGUCCACAUACAGGACAGUGGCCCUCAUUGCUCCUGCCCCAACAGGGCCGGUCUUCCGUUGGGUGAUGUCCACCUGGCCCACAGCAAGGUGGGCGUGGGGUGGGCAGAUGUCAAGGCAGAGAGGACAGUCUUUGUGGGAAGGAGGGUCCUUGGCUGAAGUUCCAGGCCUUUCUUUGAUGAUCUCAGUUGGGCUGGGACUUAGUGAUUUGAAGGAGGGAGGUCUAGGUGAAGGCAGAGGUGCGCUGAGACCUUGGCACUGAGAAGUGUUGUCACCGUGCUGAGCCUGACCACGGUGGCCGGGUUGAUUUUUAGCCCCGCAGAUCACGUCUCUAUGGAACCUCUGAGAAAAUUAAGUUUGACUGUGCAUAUGGCCCUGGAGCUGUGCAGGUGACCCGUAGAAUUACCUACAUCCUCCUUCCAGUAAUACGUUCUGGUCGACAGGGAAGCACUGGGUCCUCUGUGGAUGUGGAGAGGCUUCUGGGGGAGACGGGAGUGGAGCUCGCCUGCGAUGAUGGAUGGGGUCAGAUCCGAAGUGCUGCGGAGGCCAAGGGAGCGUCCCAAAUGCAGGAGGGAGAACCUGCCUCCCAGAACCCUCCUAUGCAGGAGCACUUGGCCUUGUGGACCAGCGGGAUCACUGGGUGUGUGGGGGCAUGGACGUGCAUGUGCAGGGCUCACAAUACUCCUUCCCAGCCAACUCUAGCCUCAAGAAACUUCAGAAGGUCCCUUGCAUGGACUCACAAGUGGCUGGGUAAUAAAUAGUGCCCGGGGCCUGUCCAUCAGCCAACACCACUUUGCAGGAAACCACGGCACUCAUUGGAGUGUCUUUUAAUUUUCACUUGCCUGUCCCCUGACCUGUCCCCGGAAAAAAAAAAAAAAAAAGGAAAAGAGCCAAAGGCAGGUGGUCAGCUCUGCUCCCAGCCUCUCUCUGUUCUUAGUGAGCACUGGACCCAUCCCCGUUCCCCUAGAGCCAGCAGCCAGGAGCGGGCUCCCCUCCUGCCCGCCGCAGACCCCCGCCAGCUGCAAUACUGCUCCGUAGACUAAUACUGAAUUUCCAGCUGCUCCGUGGCUCACUCUCUUUCCCUGGCCUUUGGCAGCAGGGAAGUCUGCCUUAUUAGAUGCUAUCAAACACCGCCUCCUUCUCGGGCGCUUGCCUUCACGGGCAUGCCUGCAAAUGGGUAGAUUUCCACAGCCCGACACAAUAGCCCUAAUUGCACGGCUUCGGCAUACAAGCGGAGGUCGUUUGAUUACUAGCUGUUUUGUACCAUGAAAGUGCACAUUAAUUAUUUAAGAGAUGGACUUAUAAUUAUUGUAAGCCUUAAGUAAUUACCUAUAAUUUUGGCAAGGGUUAGAAAAACUGAUAGUCUAGCAAAUUCAGGUUUUAGUCAUUAGUAAGAUCAUAAUUACAUUUAAAUUGCAAAAUGAAAAUUAUGCAAUUUAUCUCCCCAAUAAUGCAUAAACAUUACAGUGAUUGUAGGUUUUAAUAGACUAUAAAAACGGGAGCAGCAGUGGGCAGUCAGGGGCAAUUUCAGCCCUCGCUAUUAUUUUAUAUUGGAACUGCUUCUUCCGUAGGGUUGUCUGGUCCACUCCUAUCUGGGUUAGUCUGGGGUGCAGGGGGGCUGCUGAGUGUCUUUCAAUCUGAAAGCCAAGCAAUCAGGUCUUUGGAAGAGAGGAAGACAGGGAGAGAGACGUGAUCCAUCACGAUAAGCCUGAAGUUACAGGAGAAUAUUUGCACCAAAGGAAAGAAUCUCAUGGAGGAGGGUCAAGAAGGUUCCAGAAGACUUCCCUCCUUGAAUUUUCAUCAUGUCUAUUUUACAGAUGAGGAAACUGAGGCUCUGAGAGAGGAUGAGACCCGAUUGCAGUUGGGCUGUGGGGAUAGAAUCCAGCAUCCAAAGCUUUGCAUCUGUUGCCACCAGCCUCUGGGGUCUUUGUGUCCAGUGUCAGUGAGGCCCAGGGAGCAGCACAAGGGUGACCCUAUGGGUGGGUCUGGAAAGGCGAGCAUGACCCUGCUGUAUCCGGGCAUCGUAUUAAUGGUGUCUUCACAGGGACCACUAGACGGGAGACCUUUUGAGAUCAAAGUGGCUGAUUCUCCUGUAAAAUGCAUCUCCGAGCCCUUGUCUUCUAGGAAGUAGCCCCUGGAGGAGAAUCAGGGUCCGACACUCUGCUCCUGUAUGGGCCCAGUACAUGUUUCCAUUGUGGCUCAGAUUCAUGGACACCCAGCGAUGAUAAGAUGUGCUGUCUCCUUAAUGGAACCGAGAACGCGUCCUGGUUUAUGUAUCUUGGGCACACAGUGAAAGCCGAGGAAAUGUGUAUUAACUGAGUCGAUUGAUUAGUCAGUCAUUUAUGACUCGUCCACUGUCUUCAUUAUCUUACGCUGGAUGCAGGGAAGGUCAUAAAGAAAGGCAACAGUGUCUCUCUGCUCGAGGGUUUUGCGAUCCAGCGAAGGGGAACAAACAGAUGAAAGACGAAGCGUCAAGGCAAACAUAUUUAUCAUCCCUGAACAAACUGCGUCCGCGUUCCGAGUGUUUGCCGAGAUAAGUUGUGACUUGUUCCUCGGCUGGAAUGCCACCGGAGCUGCCCGGACGCCUAUCUGCCUGGCUCAGUCAGCUCCAGUCUCACCUAGAUGCAGGAAGAUAAAUAUUUCCUGUUGUCAUUAUCUAAUUAUGGGAUGAUGCCAACAAUAAAUAUUGACUGAGCGCCUAAUCUAUGCCAGACGCCAUGCUGGGAAGUCGGGCACCAGGAGGGGCAGCCUCGGGGAGCUGACGUCAGAAGGACCCAGGCAAAGCAGCAGGGGGAGAGCCACCAAGGGGCAGAGGAGAGGGGCAGGAAAGGUAAAAAGAGCACCCGUGUGGGCAGACGGGACGCCCAGGGGAGCCCAGAAAGAUUAGAGAGACCAGCAGUCAAGGAAGAAGGGCUGCGAGGGCUAUAUCAAGAGUAAGUACCCAUGUGACGCUUUAUGGGAGGGGGGUACUCAGGAUAGAACCCAGGGGUGCCCAACCACUGAGCCACAUCCCCAGCCCUUUUUAUAUUUUACUUAGACAUAGGGUCUCCCUUAGCUGCUUAGGGGCUUGCUAAGUUGCUGAGGCUGGCCUUGAACUUACAAUCCUCUUGCCUCAGCCUCCCGAGCCACUGGGAUUACAGGUGUGCACCAGCUGCCCGCCUCCUCCUGGGAGGAAACCCAGCUCUGGCUUUCCUGUGGGUACACCUCCCAGAUUUGCCUCCCAGGAGGAACUCAGCCUCUGCUUCAAGUGCACAGUCCUGACUGGGGUACACCCAGGUGCUACCAGCCACAGAAUUAUAAAACCGUGGGCCUUGGGAGAGCAGUAAGUGCCACUUCUAAAUGCAGCAUCACUGUGGGCGAAGCGUCUGUCCCAGGGGCCGGCGCUCAGUGCUAGACGUGCUCUGAACACAGUGCUGUGCGUGGGAAGUGGCCUCACUCGGGCCCGUCACUACUUCCCCCAUGCUUAGAGGAAUCGAGAGGAAGCUGACCGGGUGCCUCUUCUCACAGGACAGUCCAGGGUGGAUGUUCUGGGGGAACUCAUAGCCAACUUACGUCGUUGAAUCUCUGCCCUUAGACAAUCUUACAAUAAAUGGAGGAUCCCAGGCAAGGUCUGUCAAGGGCACAUGGAAAUGCUCCUCGUCUUUCAAGGAGGUGAUGCCGGGGAAGCCCGUUGAUGUUGACAGUCGUGUAAGGUGAAAAUUCACGGACGCAGCGCACCUAGCAGACACCAGCGCCUUCUCCUACCAACCUUCAAAACACCGAGGACUCGGACCUCAGCAGACAAUUGUGGGAGGUCAUUUACCCCUGUCUCUCCAGGAAGGGGUGAGCAUCCUGUGCAGUUUACCAAGUACGUACUGGAAGUGCAAAAUGGCGCCAUCCACAAAUCUUAAGUUGGGCCACCCCAAGUCAGGGACUCUCUCUUGAUCUGCCAGGAGGGAGACCCCCAGUGCCGGCAAGCAGGGCCAUCACAGUGGAGCAGAAGAGCAUGCGCAUCCAGAUUUUAAUUCCGGCUUUGGUGUCUGAGCUCCAUCUUGGAAGAAAGGUCGGAGUCUACAAGUUAGAGAUGAGGGGUGAACCCUCAGAGGCGAGUGCUCACCCGGGCAGUGCCCGGGACGGCUCCUGCCAUUUGCAUUCACUGGGAUUAUUUUGGUUGCAAGUGGCUGAAACACCAACUCCCGUGGCUUUGGAAAAUGGGAAUUCAUAGGCAGGCUCACAGAGUGGUGACAGGCAGAGCCAGUCACGAAGGCAACCGAGUCAAGUGGCUUCAGGAUCUCAGGGAGUCGCUCACCUUGCGCACACCCCAUCUCUGAUGCUCUUGGUUAGUCGUUUCUGUUCUCUUGGGCUGCCUGUCUCCUCCUGGUGGGAAAGCUGGCUCCGGCUUUCCAGUUGGCCUAUGGAUUUGUCACCAAGGAGGGACCCAGCCUCUGGCUCAGUCCUGCACUCAGCCCAGAUGGGCGUGCACCCACAUGCCAACAGCUACGGGCAGAGAGAGGAGAACGUGUGAAGGCAAGGCCCUCAGAAGGACACAAAUGUCACUUCUGAAGCCACAUAGCUGGGCUUCAGAGAAGGGACACUGUGAGGGGGGGAUGGGAGGGGAGGAGGGGUAAGACAGGGAACCUAUUUCUCAGAAGGAGGAAGAGUUUGUGUCAAUCAACUUUCAGAGGCUUCAAAAUACAAGUCAUGGGGGUUCUGGGAAAUUCUGGUCCGAGCCGGCGGGUGGGCCUGAGGUUGGAGGAGAGACUUAGCACUGGUCAGUUCUGUGCAGAUGUUUUCCAUCAGAUCCAUUUAUCAGGCUUUCCACUCACUCUCCCUUAAAUCAAACCCCUGCUGAUGAGAUUCAAGGGGACCUAUUAGGUAGAAAUAAAGGUUGAGAUGCUAUCACAGAGACCAGGCAGAUACACUGGAUAGGGUAGAGAUAAAAAUAUAAAAUAUUCGCUUUGAAAGCAUAUCACUUACAGGAUAAUGGCCAAUUCUGGUGGUGAGUACCUGUGCUCAUAAGUCACGCAGGAAACUGGGAUGAGAGCGCUUAAUGGCUUCUGCUUCCCUGAAACGCACUGUGCUGGUCUCCCGACCCCCACGGGCUGGCUCUUGGGUGCACCUUGGCAAAUCUGUAUGUUUGCACACCUGGGAGCUGAGCCCUCAUUCUCUGUGGAUAGAACGUGUCGGCUGUGGAGACUGGAAAACGCGGAUCCCACAGGGACUUGAAUCGCAGCUUCCUUCUGGAGAAGGCACAUGAGCUCCUUCUCUCCCCAGGAACAUCAUGACCCACUUCCUCCAGGUGAGAGCCGAGGAGAGCUGACUGCAUUUUCCUGACAUCUCAUCAGCUAGACCACCUCGUCUAAAGAGAAAGCGCCAUUUGGAUCCUUUUCCAGUGCCUGAAAGCAAUUCCCUCUGACAUUCCUCCAUGAAUUUUCUUUGAGCUGGAUUACUUACUGGGGACCAAAGAGCCCUGGUUCUCAAAAUGAGAGGAAGCUUCCUGUCUCCCACUAGUUGGCCUUUCCUACUUACUGAGAGAGGGGACAAGCUGAGAAGUGAUGACAGGCGAGCUGAGGAAGGAACUGGACAGCAACAAAUGACCUAGAAAGAGAGCCAGCCAGCCAGGCCAAAGGCUCGGACAUGAGCAGGCCUGAUGUGAACAGUUCCCAUUCCAGUCAGGCAUGGAGGGAGCUAAGGAAUGAGCCCUCCCAGAUCUUCAAGUGAUUACUCCCCACGUAUGAACCAAUGGAGCUGGAGAUGCACUAAAUGCCGCUGUCCAGGGUCAGUACUGAGCAGUUACUCACCAGGCUGGACCAGAAUUUUGUCUGCAGAGACCUGAGGAGUUGCAUGUUUUUGUCACCCAGGGGGAGGUCAGCCUCCCAGAUCACACAUGUACCAACAGCUGCGGCAGAGUGGGGGAUGUCUGAGACAGGCAACUUGGGCAGACAUGAAUGUCACUACAGGCAUGUCACACAGAGUCAGUCAUGAGAAGGACAAGGUCAAAACUGGUCACUGAGUCAUAGAAAUGGAUUCAGUGUUGGCUGCUUGAGACGCGGUAUUAACGGGUAGGCCCCGGUGUGGUUCAGGCGGUACCUGUGCCAAUGCACCUGUACCAUCUUCUGGACGAGGCCCUGAUAGGCAGGGAGAGUAGGUGGAUCUGGGCCAGACUAGGCGAGCUCCCUCCAUUCAGAGCAGGGCUCAGCAAACUUCCAGGAAAAGUCAGGAUGGGGCACUGCUAAGGCUCCAAGAGCCCAAGGAAUCAAGAUCUUAUCUCUAUGGGCCAGUAGGCAGGGCAAGGCCCAGACCCCAGAAAAAGCCAAGGUCCAAGACAGAGUGACCGGUGAGAACAUAGUGGUUCAGGGCAGCAGCCAGGGCUUGGCCUAGGGAUGCAGAACAGGGUGGCCAUAGGCGAUCUCUGGCCUCAUGACUUCCAGGCUACUCAGGUGACAGGGACUCACUCCCUCCGAGGACGAGGACCCAGUUCCAAGUCCUACCAAGCACAGAGUCGGGCUGUCGAGGGACAUUGGUCAGAUGUGGACCUGCCUUGGCUUCCCUGAGUUGUCCCUCAGCACCCAGGCCCUGGAGGUGGAGGGAAGACCAACACAGGGUGAUGCCUCUGGCCAACGUUUCAUGGAGACAUUUUGCUCUCCAGAACCAGAGAGCAGUAAAAGCAAGUGCAGAUCUCCCUCCUCUGACCCCCAGACCCUCCUGCAGAGGGUCCCCAGGGGUCGCGGAGUUACAGAGAUGUCACUUCCAAGUCAGAUCACUUAAAAAAAAAAUAACCAAAAAACCUAUUAAUCUAUUCUACAUAACAGUCCUAUAGAAUGUAAUUAAAACAGCUUACUAUACUUGAUUAUAAAUGUAACACAGGCUCAUCCCAUAAUAUACAGAAAUAUAUUCCUUAAAACACGCAGCAUUUUGUGAGGGUGACAACCGUCUGCAAAGUACAGAUAGCUCAGAGGAAUGGAAGGAAUAAGGCCGUUAAAGCCUCACAGCCACUUUCCCCUGGGGUUGGGGGCUGUUUGGUCACCUGCCUGUGGGUGUGCAGAGGUGAUCUCUCCGUUAACCCCACGCAAGGCAGGCAAACAAGGGCAUGGAGAAUACAAAAUUGGAGACAACUGGCAACCUCCUCUUUUUGAUUUGUACAUGUACUUUUCUUACUUCCACUUGAGCGUAGUCUUGGCUGCUGUAUUGAAAAUUCACUUCAAAGGAAAUAAUAAAAUCCUGGUGCAAAAGAAAUUGAGAUGCUUUCCAAUUUCCCAACUUCAAUAAAAUGCUUCUCAGCA